CCAGCCCUGCUCCGUCUUGGCAGAGAUGCGAAAGAUGUAGGCCGACUCCGGGGUCAAGUUGGAGGCGGUGAACUGACGGGUAUCAGGGCCCACCUCUACUGUGAUGAACUGGUUGGGAUCCCCAGAAUCCAGACGGCAUCUGUGACAGGCCUAUACAUCCACUAACAGGACACCUGUGGAGCAACAGAUAACAUGGAGGGAAUCCAAUAACGGUGAUGGGCCGGUGCUGUGCCUGAGUGAAACAGCGCUGACCUGUAGUGUGUGAACGGUGUGAGAUUGGGCACCUCCAGCAUCUGAGCUUCAGGGUCAUUCUCUUUCUCGUACAACACCUUCCACUCUUCCUCUUCACCGAUACUGCCAACCUAAAGACAGAGAGCCCUGCUGUUACAGUGCUACAGUCUGUGCCAACAAUACCAACGACCCCUUCAUGUGAUGAGCCCCUCGUGAGGGAUGGAUUCAAGGGGUCAUGAAUCGCCUUUUUUAUUAUUUUGUACUGCUAAUGUUAUCAAGUUAAUAUCAAGAAUGUAAUAUAUUAUUGACAUAUUAUUAUUAUUAUUAUAAAGAUAAGAUUGAUGUUUGCUAAAUUAAAUAAUUGGCUAUCACUGUAAUGAACUCAAAACAAACUAUUAAAACAUUAUCUGGGAGACAUUCA